rnacentral:tRNA from 1 species
GGUGGCUCAGUGGUAGAGUGCUUGCCUUGUGUGCACGAGGCCCUGGGUUCAAUUCCUCAGCACCA